GGCCGGUGUGGUGUAACGGUCUGAGUGUUGGACUAAGACACCAGAAGACCAAGGUUCAAAUCCUGGCUCGGCCA